UCCCGUCUCCAAAGACUAUUU
rnacentral:piRNA from 1 species